rnacentral:rRNA from 1 species
GAAUCUUGCGCAAUGGGCGAAAGCCUGACGCAGCAACGCCGCGUGCGGGAAGACGGCCUUAGGGUUGUAAACCGCUUUCAGCAGGGACGAAACUGACGGUACCUGCAGAAGAAGCUCCGGCUAACUACGUGCCAGCAGCCGCGGUAAUACGUAGGGAGCGAGCGUUGUCCGGAUUUAUUGGGCGUAAAGAGCUCGUAGGCGGUUUGGUAAGUCGGGUGUGAAAGCUCCGGGCUCAACUCGGAGAGGUCACUCGAUACUGCCAUGACUUGAGUCCGGUAGGGGGGUGUGGAAUUCCCAGUGUAGCGGUGAAAUGCGCAGAUAUUGGGAGGAACACCAAUGGCGAAGGCAGCACCCUGGGCCGGUACUGACGCUGAGGAGCGAAAGCGUGGGGAGCAAACAG